rnacentral:rRNA from 1 species
CGCGUAGGUGGUUUAUUAAGAUUGUUGUGAAAUCCCUGGGCUUAACCUAGGAACUGCAACGAUGACUGGUAGGCUUGAGUAUUGUAGAGGGUAGUGGAAUUUCCGGUGUAGCGGUGAAAUGCGUAGAGAUCGGAAGGAACACCAGUGGCGAAGGCGGCUACCUGGACAAAUACUGACACUGAGGCGCGAGAGCGUGGGGAGCAAACA